CUGGCUCAGGAUGAACGCUGGCGGCGUGCCUAAUACAUGCAAGUCGAGCGAGGACUUGAUGAUGGAAGAUCGUCUGAAAGAUCAAGGGAAAGCGGCGGACGGGUGAGUAACACGUAGGCAACCUGCCCUUAGCAGAGGGAUAGCCAUUGGAAACGAUGAUUAAAACCUCAUAAUGCUUUGGAGACACAUGUCUUUAAAGCCAAAGAUUUAUCGGCUAAGGAUGGGCCUGCGUCUGAUUAACUGGUUGGUGAGGUAACGGCUCACCCAAGGUGACGAUCAGUAGCCGACCUGAGAGGGUGAUCGGCCACAUUGGAACUGAGACACGGUCCAAACUUCUACGGAAGGCAGCAGUAAGGAAUCUUGCACAAUGGGGGAAACCCUGAUGCAGCAACGCCGCGUGAACGAAGAAGGCCUUCGGGUUGUAAAGUUCUGAUCUUGGGGAAGAAGGAAGUGACGGUACCCAAGGAGAAAGCCCCGGCUAACUACGUGCCAGCCGCAGC
rnacentral:rRNA from 1 species